GAAGUGAGUGGCGAACGGGUGAGUAACACGUGGGUAACCUGCCCAGAAGUAGGGGAUAACACCUGGAAACAGAUGCUAAUACCGUAUAACAGAGAAAACCGCAUGGUUUUCUUUUAAAAGAUGGCUCUGCUAUCACUUCUGGAUGGACCCGCGGCGUAUUAGCUAGUUGGUGAGGUAAAGGCUCACCAAGGCAGUGAUACGUAGCCGACCUGAGAGGGUAAUCGGCCACAUUGGGACUGAGACACGGCCCAGACUCCUACGGGAGGCAGCAGUAGGGAAUCUUCCACAAUGGACGCAAGUCUGAUGGAGCAACGCCGCGUGAGUGAAGAAGGGUUUCGGCUCGUAAAGCUCUGUUGUUAAAGAAGAACGUGGGUAAGAGUAACUGUUUACCCAGUGACGGUAUUUAACCAGAAAGCCACGGCUAACUACGUGCCAGCAGCCGCGGGAAUACGGGGGUGGCAAGCGUUAUCCGGAUUUAUUGGGCGUAAAGCGAGCGCAGGCGGUCUUUUAAGUCUAAUGUGAAAGCCUUCGGCUCAACCGAAGAAGUGCAUUGGAAACUGGGGAGACUUGAGUGCAGAAGAGGACAGUGGAACUCCAUGUGUAGCGGUG
rnacentral:rRNA from 1 species